rnacentral:rRNA from 1 species
UACGGAGGGUGCAAGCGUUAAUCGGAAUUACUGGGCGUAAAGCGCACGCAGGUGGCUGAGUCAGUCGAUUGUGAAAGCCCUGGGCUUAACCUGGGAAUUGCAGUCGAUACUACUCAGCUAGAGUAUGGGAGAGGGCAGUGGAAUUCCCGGUGUAGCGGUGAAAUGCGUAGAUAUCCGGAAGAACACCGGUGGCGAAGGCGGCCUGCUGGGCUAUGGCUGACACUGAGGCGCGACAGCGUGGGGAGCAAACAGG